rnacentral:rRNA from 1 species
UGGGGAAUAUUGCACAAUGGGCGCAAGCCUGAUGCAGCCAUGCCGCGUGUGUGAAGAAGGCCUUCGGGUUGUAAAGCACUUUCAGCGGGGAGGAAGGCGAUAAGGUUAAUAACCUUGUCGAUUGACGUUACCCGCAGAAGAAGCACCGGCUAACUCCGUGCCAGCAGCCGCGGUAAUACGGAGGGUGCAAGCGUUAAUCGGAAUUACUGGGCGUAAAGCGCACGCAGGCGGUCUGUCAAGUCGGAUGUGAAAUCCCCGGGCUCAACCUGGGAACUGCAUUCGAAAAUGGCAGGCUAGAGUCUUGGAGAGGGGGGUAGAAUUCCAGGUGUAGCGGUGAAAUGCGUAGAGAUCUGGAGGAAUACCGGUGGCGAAGGCGGCCCCCUGGACAAAGACUGACGCUCAGGUGCGAAAGCGUGGGGAGCAAACAGG